rnacentral:rRNA from 1 species
CGAAUGGGUUUAGACCCAUGGCAGACGAGGUAGUAACACGUAGAUUACGUACCCUAAAGUCAGGAAUAACCUGGAGAAAUCCAGAAUAAUACCUGAUAGUCCCUACGGGGUAAAGUUUUAACGCUUUAGGAACGGUCUGCGGGAUAUCAGCUUGUUGGUAGUGUAAUGGACUACCAAGGCUAAGACGUCUAGGGGAGGUGAGAGCCUGACCCCCACCGAUGGAACUGAGACACGGUCCAU